GUAGGGAAUCUUCCACAAUGGGCGCAAGCCUGAUGGAGCAACGCCGCGUGAAUGAAGAAGGUCUUCGGAUCGUAAAGUUCUGUUAUUAGAGAAGAACACGUGUAAGAGUAACUGAUUAUGCGUUGACGGUAUCUAAUCAGCAAGUCACGGCUAACUACGUGCCAGCAGCCGCGGUAAUACGUAGGUGGCAAGCGUUGUCCGGAUUUAUUGGGCGUAAAGGGAACGCAGGCGGUUUUUUAAGUCUGAUGUGAAAGCCUUCGGCUUAACCGGAGAUGUGCAUUGGAAACUGGAAGACUUGAGUGCAGAAGAGGAGAGUGGAACUCCAUGUGUAGCGGUGAAAUGCGUAGAUAUAUGGAAGAACACCAGUGGCGAAAGCGGCUCUCUGGUCUGUAACUGACGCUGAGGUUCGAAAGCGUGGGUAGCGAACAGGAUUAGAUACCCGAGUAGUCC
rnacentral:rRNA from 1 species